CCCUAGCCCCGAUAGUAGCGGCAUCCUUUUUUGCUUUCUUUACAAAUCUUGCUUUGGAUAAACAAAUGUUAUGAAAGCAAAAAAGAUAUAGCGGAUAGCGGGAUUAGCU
rnacentral:sRNA from 1 species